rnacentral:rRNA from 1 species
AACGUAGGUUCCGAGCGUUAUCCGGAUUUACUGGGCGUAAAGCGCGUUCAGGCGGUUUGGCAAGUCGGGCAUGAAAUCUCUCGGCUCAACCGGGAGAGGUUGUCCGAUACUUCCAGACUUGAGGGCAGUAGAGGGUGGUGGAAUUCCGGGUGUAGUGGUGAAAUGCGCAGAUAUCAGGAGGAACACCGGUGGCGAAGGCGGUGGUCUGGGCCGGCACUGACGCUGAGGAGCGAAAGCGUGGGGAGCAAACAGG